rnacentral:rRNA from 1 species
ACUCCUACGGGAGGCAGCAGUGGGGAAUCUUGCGCAAUGGGCGGAAGCCUGACGCAGCAACGCCGCGUGUGGGAAGACGGCCUUCGGGUUGUAAACCACUUUCAGGGGGGACGAAGCUUCCGAGGUUAAUAGCCUACGGGGUGACGGUACCCCACGAAGAAGACCCCGGCUAACUGACGUGCCAGCAGCCGCGGUAAUACGUAAGGGGGCGAGCGGUUGUCCGGAAUCAUUGGGCGUAAAGGCGCGAUGUAGGCGGCUCGGUCAGUCUGGUGU